rnacentral:rRNA from 1 species
AGCUCCACGAGCAUGUACGUAAGUUGUUGCAGUUAAAAAGCUCGUAGUUGGAUCUCAGAUUGUGACCGAGUGGUCUGCUCGAUACGAGUAUGCACUGCCGAGUCCGGUCUUCAACUGGUCCAACUCUGCAGUGCCCUUAAUUGGGUGCUGUAGAUUGCCAGAAAUUUUACUCUGAAAAAAUUAGAGUGCUCAAAGCAAGCCGAUUGUGCUUGAAUACUGUUGCAUGGAAUAAUGGAAUAGGACCUCGGUUCUAUUUUGUUGGUUUUCGGAGUCGAGGUAAUGAUUAAGAGGGACAGACGGGGGCAUUCGUAUUGCGCCGUUAGAGGUGAAAUUCUUGGAUCGGCGCAAGACGAACAACUGCGAAAGCAUUUGCCAAGGAUGUUUUCAUUAAUCAAGAACG